AUUGAACGCUGGCGGCAGGCCUAACACAUGCAAGUCGAACGAGUGGCGGACGGGUGAGUAAUGUCUGGGAACCUGCCCGAUGGCGGGGGCUAACUACUGGAAACGGUAGCUAAUACCGAAUACCAUCGGCAGAGCCCAGAUGGGAUUGGCUAGUAGGUGGGGUAAAGGCUCACCUAGGAGACGAUCCCUAGCUGGUCUGAGAGGAUGACCAGCAACACGGGAACUGUGACACGGUCCAGCAUCCUACGGGAGGCAGCAGUGGGGAAUAUGGCACAAUGGGCGCAAGCCUGAUGCAGCCAUGCGGCGUGUAUGAAGAAGGCCUUCGGGUUGUAAAGUACGUUCAGCGGGGAGGCGUUACCCGCAGAAGAAGCACCGGCUAACUCCGUGCCAGCAGCCGCGGUAAUUC
rnacentral:rRNA from 1 species